rnacentral:rRNA from 1 species
AUUGAACGCUGGCGGCAGGCCUAACACAUGCAAGUCGAACGGUAACAGGAAGAAGCUUGCUUCUUUGCUGACGAGUGGCGGACGGGUGAGUAAUGUCUGGGAAACUGCCUGAUGGAGGGGGAUAACUACUGGAAACGGUAGCUAAUACCGCAUAAUGUCGCAAGACCAAAGAGGGGGACCUUCGGGCCUCUUGCCAUCGCAUGUGCCCAGAUGGGAUUAGCUAGUAGGUGGGGUAACGGCUCACCUAGGCGACGAUCCCUAGCUGGUCUGAGAUGAUGACCAGCCACACUGGAACUGAGACACGGUCCAGACUCCUACGGGAGGCAGCAGUGGGGAAUAUUGCACAAUGGGCGCAAGCCUGAUGCAGCUAUGCCGCGUGUAUGAAGAAGGCCUUCGGGUUGUAAAGUACUUUCAGCGGGGAGGAAGGGAGUAAAGUUAAUACCGUUGCUCAUUGACGUUACCCGCAGAAGAAGCACCGGCUAACUCCGUG